rnacentral:rRNA from 1 species
AAUCAACGCUGGCGGCGUGCCUCAGACAUGCAAGUCGAACGAUUAAAGCUCUCUUCGGAGAGUGCAUAGAGUGGCGCACGGGUGAGUAACACGUAAGUAAUCUACCUUCGAGUGGGGAAUAACGUCCGGAAACGGACGCUAAUACCGCAUAAUGCAGCGGCAUCGUAAGAUGACAGUUGUUAAAGAUUUAUCGCUUGAAGAGGAGCUUGCGGCAGAUUAGCUAGUUGGUAAGGUAAUGGCCUACCAAGGCUACGAUCAGUAGCUGGUCUGAGAGGACGACCAGCCACACUGGAACUGAGACACGGUCCAGACUCCUACGGGAGGCAGCAGUGGGGAAUUUUGGACAAUGGGGGCAACCCUGAUCCAGCAAUGCCGCGUGAGUGAAGAAGGCC